AGCAGCCGCGGUAAUUCCAGCUCCAAUAGCGUAUAUUAAAGUUGUUGCAGUUAAAAAGCUCGUAGUUGAAUUUCGGGAUUAGUACGUUGGUCGUGCCUUCGGUACGUACUGGUGUUACUGAUUCCUACCUUCUGACGAACCAUCAUGUCAUUAAUUUGGUGUGGCGGGGAAUCAGGACUGUUACUUUGAAAAAAUUAGAGUGUUUAAAGCAGGCUCGCGCUUGAAUACAUUAGCAUGGAAUAAUGAAAUAGGACGUUGACCCUAUUUUGUUGGUUUCUAGGAUUGACGUAAUGAUUAAUAGGGAUAGUUGGGGGCAUUAGUAUUCAAUUGUCAGAGGUGAAAUUCUUGGAUUUAUUGAAGACUAACUACUGCGAAAGCAUUUGCCAAGGAUGUUUUCAUUAAUCAAGGACGAAAGUUAGGGGAUCGAAGACGAUCAGAUACCGUCGUAGUCUUAACCAUAAACUAUGCCGACUAGGGAUCGGAUGAUGUUAUUUUUAAUGACUCA
rnacentral:rRNA from 1 species